rnacentral:rRNA from 1 species
CACCCCCUACGGGAGGCAGCAGUGGGGAAUAUUGCACAAUGGGGGGAACCCUGAUGCAGCGACGCCGCGUGGGUGAAGAAGUCAUUCGUGACGUAAAGCCCUAUCAGCAGGGAAGAAAAUGACGGUACCUGACUAAGAAGCCCCGGCUAACUACGUGCCAGCAGCCGCGGUAAUACGUAGGGGGCAAGCGUUAUCCGGAUUUACUGGGUGUAAAGGGAGCGUAGACGGCAAGACAAGCCUGGAGUGAAAGGCGGGGGCCCAACCCCCGGACUGCUCUGGGAACUGUCUGGCUGGAGUGCAGGAGG